rnacentral:misc_RNA from 1 species
GGCUGAUCACGUGGCUGAUGUCUUGAUGAUACCAUCGGCCACGCUUCCUUUUAGGCAAUGUAAUAUUCUACUGGGCGGGUCCGCAAGUUGUCGUUAAAUUACUAACAACUUUGUCAUCGUUGCCUUCCUUAAGAUCCUUGUGCAAGGCCUAGCAAUAUCAGGACCGUUCAUCUUUUGUAGAGUCAGCCCCUCUUUAAUCAUCAAGCCAGUUCACAGUUUCCUUUGCUAGUUUCCAGUUGCCGAGUAUAGUACUGACUGCUGGCCUUAGAAAAAGAAAGAAAACAAGAACUAUCUAUCUGCAACGCAAUUGUUUACAACAUACACCACUGCUUUGAGCUUUAGCAAGAGGGGAAAUACAAGGUAUUGGCGUAUUUGGAAUUAGAGUGAAUUUGAAGAGCGAAUGGCCAACAUAGACAUCGAGGGAAUCCUAAAGGAGCUGCCUGAAGAUGGGCGUGUCCCAAAGUCAAAGAUCGUGUGCACGCUUGGUCCUGCUUCUCGAUCCGUCCCUAUGCUCGAGAAGCUUCUCAGGGCUGGCAUGAACGUUGCCCGCUUCAAUUUCUCCCAUGGAACCCAUGAAUAUCACCAGGAGACCUUGAACAAUCUUAGAAUUGCCAUGCAGAACACACAGAUCCUUUGUGCUGUCAUGCUCGAUACCAAGGUCUCUCUUUUGCUUUUAUAUUCCAGUUUUAUUUUCAUCUUCCUAUUGCUUGUGCUACAUUUGAUUGACUGUGUCAAUCUGGCAGCUUUUCUUUUGCUUUUAUUCUUCAUCAUCUCUUCUUUUCUAUUGCUUAUAUAUGUGUGUAUGGCUGUGAAGGAGGCAUCACAUUUAGACUGUGGGGAGAGAGCAAUUUCUUUCAGUAAUAAAUUCGGCACAAUCUGAGGCAGGGGGAAAUUUGAUUUAUAAUGUCAGCUACAUGCCAAAACAUUGAUACAUACAUAUAAAAUAAAUCAAUUCAAUUUUUAAAACAUCAAUGUUUUGGUCACAAAAGACCCUGUAUACAUAGUAUGGAAAUUUCAAUUAUUUAUGAAGUAUGUGUUAGACACCACAAAUAACCUUUUGGGCAUGAGAUUGUUUGCAUUGGUUAAUUGUUACAUGCAUACUUGGUGAGCACGGAUGACUUCGUAAAAAGUAGAUUCUCACAGCUUCUGGGAUUUACAAAUUCUUUAGAAACAUUACAUGAUUUGCAUACCUAUGUAGUGCUCAAUUGGCACUGAGGUUGAAACUAAGUUUUUUUAAAAAUCCUUUUAGAUUUUGUGAAAAACAGUUUCAAUCAGUUUGAAGCUGCUUUUUAGUGUUUUUGAAGUUUUUAGGACAGAAAAUGUCACUCAAAUCUAUCUUAAAAAUCUGUUUUAAUUUAAUCAACACAUUCAAGAUAUUUUUUCUAAGAUUUUAUUUUUAACAUUGGAUAUGAGUGACUAUGUAUAUGCAAGACAUAUGGUAACGUUGUGGAGAAAUUUUCUUUGGAAACAAUUUACAAUUCUGUUCUGAUUGAUUAAAUAAUUAUUGUAACAUCAUUUUUUGUAUGCAUGGUUUCUGAAUGUUUAUUAAAUGAAAGGUUUUUUAAUACCCUGUGGAGAGAGAGAUUACAAUUUACAGAAACUAUUACAUUUUGAGUUCCUUUUGCUGGUGCUGGAUAGAUUACUAUGUGCCUGUCGUCCUUUUAUUUCCCCUUUCUAAGAAGUUAAAAAUCGAAAAUUUCAAUUGCUAUAAAGUGAAACAGGGGAUUUGCUCUGAACUCUUAUCUUGUGGGCAUUGGAUGUUUGUUACUCUUCGUUCUGGCCUAUUAUACUGAUGCAUUACAUGUUUCCACAUUUUGCACAAAUAGCAGAGCGAAAAAUCUUUUCACUCAAAAGAUUAUGUUCUGACGCAUUACAUGUUUCCACAUGUUGCACAAAUAGUAGAGCGAAAAAUCUUUCUCACUCAGAAAGAUUAUACUCCGUUAUUCAUCCAGGAUUAACUAUUCUGAUAGGCAUUCCUUUCUUCUUUUCUGUGGUAGGGACCUGAGAUUCGGACUGGUUUCCUGAAGGAUGGAAAACCUAUUCAACUGAAGGAAGGUCAGGAAAUCACUGUGACUACUGAUUAUGAGAUCAAGGGUGAUACAGAGAUGAUCUCCAUGAGCUACAAAAAACUGCCUGUGGACGUGAAACCUGGAAAUACCAUAUUGUGUGCUGAUGGAACAAUCACUCUGACUGUUUUGUCUUGUAAUCCGGAGGCUGGAAGUGUGAGUUGCCGCUGUGAGAACACUGCAACACUAGGUGAAAGGAAAAAUGUUAAUCUUCCUGGUGUUGUGGUGGAUCUUCCAACACUGACAGAGAAGGAUAAGGAAGACAUCUUGGGUUGGGGUGUUCCCAACAAGAUCGAUAUGAUUGCUCUUUCAUUUGUUCGCAAGGGUUCAGAUCUUGUUCAUGUGCGAAAGGUUCUUGGGCCACAUGCCAAGCAUAUACAGUUAAUGUCAAAGGUACAAUCCCUAUCUGUAGAGGCACAUGGUAUGUAACUUGUGCCCCCCUUUUGGGAUUUUGUACUUUGCCUAGAUGUGUCUGUUUGCUAAUCUAUUCCAUUUAAGAAAUUAAUUUUGAUUAUUGUUAUUGAUAAUUGUUACACUUCUCUGUAGAAGUUUUAUUUGGUUGGUUAGAUAAUUGAUUGCUUCGGUUUUCCUUAGGUUGAGAACCAGGAAGGAGUUGUUAACUUUGAUGAGAUCUUGCGGGAGACUGAUUCAUUCAUGGUUGCUCGUGGUGAUCUUGGAAUGGAAAUUCCUGUAGAGAAGAUUUUCCUGGCACAAAAGAUGAUGAUAUACAAGUGCAAUAUUGUGGGCAAGCCUGUGGUUACUGCGACCCAGAUGCUUGAAUCCAUGAUUAAGUCUCCCCGACCAACCAGAGCUGAAGCAACUGAUGUUGCUAAUGCUGUUCUUGAUGGUACUGAUUGUGUUAUGCUUAGUGGUGAGAGUGCAGCUGGGGCCUACCCAGAGCUUGCUGUAAAGAUUAUGCGUCGGAUUUGUAUUGAAGCAGAAUCAUCCCUUGACUAUGGAGCUAUCUUCAAGGAGAUGAUAAGAUCAACUCCACUUCCCAUGAGCCCAUUGGAGAGCCUUGCGUCCUCAGCUGUACGAACUGCUAACAAGGCAAAAGCAAAGCUCAUUGUAGUUUUGACGCGUGGAGGGACAACAGCUAAGUUGGUAGCCAAGUACAGACCAGCUGUCCCAAUCCUGUCUGUAGUUGUCCCAGUCUUGACGACUGACUCGUUUGAUUGGACCUGCAGCGAUGAGACUCCAGCAAGGCAUAGUUUGAUAUAUAGGGGCUUGAUUCCUAUUCUGGCAGAAGGGUCUGCCAAGGCUACUGAUGCAGAAUCUACUGAGGUUAUUUUGGAAGCUGCAUUAAAGUCAGCGACCGAGAGGGGGUUGUGUAAGCCUGGCGAUGCUGUUGUUGCACUCCAUCGAAUUGGAGCUGCCUCAGUUAUUAAGAUAUGCAUUGUGAAAUGAUGUGAAAUAUGCUGAAUGCCUUAGAUAUGGCUUGGAGAGGCAGUUGCAAGGAAUGGACGUUUAUAAUAAUAAUUAUAUUUUUUGGGACCUGUUGUGGGGUCAUUGGAGGAUUAGUUAUUUCGUCUGUCCUCACUCUAUGUUAUAUGAGACUGGAAUUGUCAUUUUAAUUAGAUAAUGUUAUUGGCAUGUUCAAUCAUAUGUUCUUGUGGCACGUAUAAAAUGCAACAUCCAGGACAUGUAGGGGAUACGUGGUUUUAUGGCUGAUUCUAUGAGAUUUGUAUCGGACUGUGGUGCAUUGAGAUUCCAACCGGCGUUUAGAUGAAGAGUUGGGGGGAGGACUGUUUGCAUUGGCCAAUGAGGACUCGAAUUCCAUAAGUGGGAGGCAAAGAUGAUUCUGCAUAAGCAAGGUUCAAGACAGGAUUGAUCUGUCAACUUCACCAGGGCAAUUUCAAGAAGAGGUGGCUAUUCUUGUUGCUACGUUGUGUCCUAUUUCUUCGUUCUGGAACAUCUACUAAACGAAUACUAUAGGAGAGACAGGCCCCUUCAUCAACUGUCAACUAUAAGCAUGCAACUUAAAAGAUUUCAAGAAGCCUACGGUGGUGGAGAGCGCUGCUUUUGUUAAGAGAAGUGCCAUAGGUUCGAAACCAAAACCUCGUAUUCAAAUGGCCAUAAUUUAGACAUAUAUGAAUCAUGAUGUCUUCAAAACUAUCAGAGGCAAUAGGCGUGGAUUUAGCGGCAGUCUGGCACAGUGGCACUUCUCUAUUCAGGGUGGACGAGGUUGAAUACACGGUGAAAGGCUAAUGAUUAAUCAAUUUAUAGGAAUGGCG